CCUUUUGUAGUUUACAAUAAAAAUUUCACUCUUUCAAUGUGAAGAAGAUUCUUCCAAAAGUU
rnacentral:tRNA from 1 species